rnacentral:lncRNA from 1 species
AAAGGAAGCAGGGAACAAGCAAUGGGAAGUUGGUGUCAAAAUGCAGAAAAACCUCCCAGCAAGCUUCUUGCAACCACCCAGGAUUUAGAGUCUUGCUGGCCGCUCUCUUUUCAAUACCAGAAUUUCACACAUUUCAAUGACUAUUAUGACUUCAAAGAAUCAAAUUUUCAUCAUUGUCCGUCAUCUGCCGGUUGAUUUGUAUAAAGGAGUUCUUCUGCAUGCACUCCCAACAAAAGCCUCCUUACUUUUGUGGCUAUAUAUCAAGUUUAAAAGUUUUGUUUGUGACAGUUGUGUCUUUGGUAAAUUAGGGCAACACUGAAGGAGUGCAGCUGCUCCACAGGA